rnacentral:misc_RNA from 1 species
AAGUCGUAACAAGGUUUCCGUAGGUGAACCUGCGGAAGGAUCAUUAACACGUAUCCACGUUAUCAAACCAAUGAGAACCGUUUUCCCGUCUCCCUGCUGCAUGAAAUGAAUUGGAACCAGUUUGAGGGGGUGAUGGGACCGAUAAGGUCGACCUUCCUGGCACACUGAUGUUUUCAUUCCGUUUAUUCGGAUGAGGGCAUCGACAAUUGUAUUUAUGUUCUGCAGGCUAAUUCUUUAUCGCUUUGAUCCCCUCACGAUCGUGGCGGUAGGGAAGCCCUUCAAACUACAUUUACCUCCCCUUUUUGCUAGUUGACUUUUUAUAUGUGUUGUGGGUUCUCGAUUGCUUCAUUGCAACGGCUCUCGGCACACGUUUAUUAAUUGAACGUUAAAAAAUACAACUCUUAGCAAUGGAUAUCUUGGUUCUC